CUCAAUCUCCCCCAAAUUUACAUUUGCAGCAAAACCCUACCAACCUCCAAAAUCACGCUACCAGAUCCAAUCUCACUACCGUAAGCAUUCUCAGUUGUAAUCAACAAUCACCUCCAAUCUCACCACCAUAUUCUGCCACUACCGAACACCACACCCACACCAUCACCGACCUUUAAUCCCCUACCGGACGAACCUCCACUGGACGACCACUGGAGCUUUUGUUCUCACCACCCGACGAACCCCCUUAAGGUACCAGUCCCGUACUGAACAUUUUCGCUACCGGUACCCAGUUUUGAUGAUUUUCAGUACCGGUACCGGUACUACACUCAUCCCUAGCUGUAUAUGGCUGGAAAAUACGUUUGGACGUGGCUGAAAAUAAAGCUGUACAGGUAUGGAUAUAUGCCGGCAUUGGGCUGGGCAAACACUCGUAUAUUGGGUUCGGUUGGUGUCAAGUGUAUUAGGUUGCUGUGUAUUUCAGGUCUCAAUGCUAUUGUUGCAGGGUGUAUCUUUUGCUCUGGAGUCGGUUUUGUGUCCAUCACCUGUUUGUAAUGGUUGUUGAUUUGGUGUUUAGAUCGGCUUCAAAUGGGUGAAGUUGUCUCCGCUAACCGAAAAAAAUGUUAAAUAUUUUGCCCGAUGUUUGAUCUUUUGUAGCUCCAGGUGUUGAGUUCAUCAAUUGGUGCUGCUUAAAGGAGAGGUCAGGUCUUAAGGGUGCAAAAAUAUACUAUACAUUAUUACAGUAAAAUCAUUGUUUUACCCUUCUUUUUUCCCUUGAUGAAAGAUCUUGUAUUUUGAAUGAUUAGUAUUUUUGUUAAAUGAGUUUUUGAGAGCUUUCAUGGCUGCUCAUAUGUUCUGUAACUUCAAUUGAUUUAACAUACUAUUUUUGUUAAA